rnacentral:rRNA from 1 species
AUGGGCAACUGCUGCGGCGCGCCGUCGACGCAGGGGGGCGGCCGGGGGAAGAACGACAGGAGGAAGCCCAAGGCGAACCCCUACACCGUCGCCUACAACCGCGGCGCGGGGGCGCCGCCGGCGCGGGCGGGGCUGGUGGUGCUGCGGGACCCCACGGGCCGGGACCUGGACGACAAGUACGUGCUGGGCGGCGAGCUGGGGCGCGGCGAGUUCGGCGUCACCUACCUCUGCACCGACGCCGCCACGGGCGCGCGGAUGGCCUGCAAGUCCAUCUCCAAGCGCAAGCUGCGCACCCCCGUCGACGUCGAGGACGUGCGCCGCGAGGUGGAGAUCAUGCGCCACAUGCCGCCGCACCCCAACAUCGUCAGCCUCAGCGCCGCCUACGAGGACGAGGACGCCGUGCACCUCGUCAUGGAGCUCUGCGAGGGCGGCGAGCUCUUCGACCGGAUCGUCGCCCGGGGACACUACACCGAGCGCGCCGCCGCCGCCGUCACCCGCACCAUCGUCGAGGUCGUCCAGAUGUGCCACAGAAAUGGUGUCAUCCAUCGGGACCUCAAACCGGAAAACUUCUUAUAUGCAAACAAGAAGGAGAGUUCUCCUCUGAAGGCAAUUGAUUUUGGGCUAUCUGUGUUCUUCAGACCUGGUGAACGGUUCAGUGAAAUUGUAGGCAGUCCAUACUACAUGGCCCCAGAGGUUUUGAAGCGCAAUUAUGGCCCCGAAAUCGAUGUCUGGAGUGCAGGAGUUAUACUUUACAUACUUCUUUGUGGUGUGCCACCAUUUUGGGCAGAAACUGAACAGGGAGUAGCACAGGCAAUUAUACGCUCUGUGGUAGAUUUCAAAAGAGACCCAUGGCCCAGAGUAUCUGAGCCUGCUAAAGACCUUGUCAGGCGGAUGUUGGAUCCAAAUCCAAUCACACGGCUUACUGCAGCACAAGUACUUGAGCAUCCAUGGUUACAUGAUUCCAAAAAGAAUCCUGACAUUCAACUUGGCGAUACUGUCCGAGCAAGACUGCAGCAAUUUUCUGCAAUGAACAAAUUAAAGAAGAAAGCCUUAAGGGUGAUUGCUGAGCAUUUGUCUUUAGAAGAAGUAGCUGACAUAAAGAAAAUGUUUGAUAGCAUGGACGUAAACAAUAAGGGCCAACUAACCUUUGAGGAGUUCAAGGCUGGACUCCGUAAACUUGGAAAUAAAAUGCAUGAUUCAGAUCUUCAAAUGUUGAUGGAUGCUGCUGAUGUUGAUAAAAACGGUACCCUUGAUUAUGGAGAAUUCGUUGCGGUGUCUAUCCAUGUGAGAAAAAUAGGCAAUGAUGAACAUAUCCAAAAGGCCUUCUCAUACUUUGACCAAGACAAGAGUGGGUACAUAGAGAUUGAAGAGCUAAGAGUGGCUUUGACUGAUGAGGUGGAUGGAGCUUGCGAUGAAGACAUUAUCAAUGGCAUCAUUCAUGAUGUAGAUACAGACAAGGACGGGAAGAUAAGCUACGACGAGUUUGCGGCGAUGAUGAAGGCGGGGACGGACUGGAGGAAGGCGUCCCGGCAGUACUCGAGGCAGAGGUUCAGCAACCUCAGCCUGAAGCUGCACAAGGACGGGUCCAUCAGCGACGACCAGAAGUAG